rnacentral:rRNA from 1 species
CGCAUACGUCCUACGGGAGAAAGCAGGGGAUCUUCGGACCUUGCGCUAAUAGAUGAGCCUAAGUCGGAUUAGCUAGUUGGUGGGGUAAAGGCCUACCAAGGCGACGAUCUGUAGCGGGUCUGAGAGGAUGAUCCGCCACACUGGGACUGAGACACGGCCCAGACUCCUACGGGAGGCAGCAGUGGGGAAUAUUGGACAGUGGGGGGAACCCUGAUCCAGCCAUGGCGCGUGUGUGAAGAAGGCCUUAUGGUUGUA